rnacentral:rRNA from 1 species
ACGAACGCUGGCGGCGUGCUUAACACAUGCAAGUCGAACGAUGAACCACUUCGGUGGGGAUUAGUGGCGAACGGGUGAGUAACACGUGGGCAAUCUGCCCUUCACUCUGGGACAAGCCCUGGAAACGGGGUCUAAUACCGGAUAACACUGCGGAUCGCAUGGUCUGCGGUUAAAAGCUCCGGCGGUGAAGGAUGAGCCCGCGGCCUAUCAGCUUGUUGGUGAGGUAAUGGCUCACCAAGGCGACGACGGGUAGCCGGCCUGAGAGGGCGACCGGCCACACUGGGACUGAGACACGGCCCAGACUCCUACGGGAGGCAGCAGUGGGGAAUAUUGCACAAUGGGCGAAAGCCUGAUGCAGCGACGCCGCGUGAGGGAUGACGGCCUUCGGGUUGUAAACCUCUUUCAGCAGGGAAGAAGCGAAAGUGACGGUACCUGCAGAAGAAGCGCCGGCUAACUACGUGCCAGCAGCCGCGGUAAUACGUAGGGCGCAAGCGUUGUCCGGAAUUAUUGGGCGUAAAGAGCUCGUAGGCGGCUUGUCACGUCGAUUGUGAAAGCCCGAGGCUUAACCUCGGGUCUGCAGUCGAUACGGGCUAGCUAGAGUGUGGUAGGGGAGAUCGGAAUUCCUGGUGUAGCGGUGAAAUGCGCAGAUAUCAGGAGGAACACCGGUGGCGAAGGCGGAUCUCUGGGCCAUUACUGACGCUGAGGAGCGAAAGCGUGGGGAGCGAACAGGAUUAGAUACCCUGGUAGUCCACGCCGUAAACNGNNNNANUAGGUGUUGGCGACAUUCCACGUCGUCGGUGCCGCA